CUUGAGCGCUGGCGGCAGGCCUAACACAUGCAAGUCGAGCGGAUCGGCGGCCGGGCGUGUAAUGCCUAGGCAUCUGCCUGGUAGUGGUGGAUAACGUCCCGACCCGGGCGCUACUACCGCUUACUAUCUGAUGCUCCUAGGUCGGAUUAGCUAGUUGGUGGGGUAAAGGCCUACCAAGGCGACGAUCCGUAACUGUUCUGAGAGGAUGAUCAGUCACACUGGAACUGGGACACGGUCCAGACGCCUACGGGAGGCAGCAGUGGGAAAUAUUGGACAAUGAGCGAAAGCCUGAUCCAGCCAUGCCGCGUGUGUGAAGAAGGUCUUCGGAUUGUAAAGCACUUUAAGUUGGGAGGCGUUACCAACAGAAUAGGCACCGGCUAACUUCGUGCCAGCAGCCGCGGUAAUUC
rnacentral:rRNA from 1 species